rnacentral:rRNA from 1 species
CCUACGGGGGGCUGCAGUGGGGAAUAUUGCACAAUGGAGGAAACUCUGAUGCAGCGACGCCGCGUGAAUGAUGAAGGCCUUCGGGUCGUAAAAUUCUGUCCUUGGGGAAGAUAAUGACGGUACCCAAGGAGGAAGCCCCGGCUAACUACGUGCCAGCAGCCGCGGUAAUACGUAGGGGGCAAGCGUUGUCCGGAAUUAUUGGGCGUAAAGGGUUCGCAGGCGGUCUGAUAAGUCAGAUGUGAAAGACUAUGGCUUAACCAUGGUAAGCAUUUGAAACUGUCAGACUUGAGUUAAGGAGAGGAAAGUGGAAUUCCUAGUGUAGCGGUGAAAUGCGUAGAUAUUAGGAGGAAUACCAGUGGCGAAGGCGACUUUCUGGACUUAUACUGACGCUGAGGAACGAAAGCGUGGGGAGCAAACAGGAUUAGAUACCCGAGUAGUC